CUGCUCCUUCAAUGCCUCAUGAUCGUCAUUGGGCUCCAUGUCACGCCGUUGUAGCAACACCCUUACUUGUUGCUUUUGAGCUGCUUCUUUGUAUACAUCUUGAGAUCAGUCAUGUGGUAAAUUUAAAGGUCGUCUUCUUACCCCUAUUGGCUUUUGAAGUGGCAAUUUUGAUUGAUAACAUCAGGUAAUUAUCUAAUUCUAUCACUCCAUCAAUAUAUGUAUUGUUAGAAAGUUGCACUCUCUGAUUAUG